GGGGAGGUUCCCGAGUGGUCAAAGGGGGCAGACUGUAAAUCUGUUGCUUCGGCUUCGAAGGUUCAAAUCCUUCUCUCCCCACUA
rnacentral:tRNA from 2 species